GACAGAGGGUGCAAACGUUGUUCGGAAUUACUGGGCGUAAAGCGAGUGUAGGCGGUCUUCUAAGUCGGAUGUGAAAGCCCCGGGCUCAACCCGGGAAGUGCACUCGAAACUGGAAGGCUAGAGUAUCGGAGAGGUUGGUGGAAUUCUCGGUGUAGAGGUGAAAUUCGUAGAUAUCGAGAGGAACACCGGUGGCGCAGGCGGCCAACUGGACGAAUACUGACGCUGAGACUCGAAAGCGUGGGGAGCAAACAGG
rnacentral:rRNA from 1 species